AACGAACGCUGGCGGCAGGCCUAACACAUGCAAGUCGAACGCUCCGCAAGGAGAGUGGCAGACGGGUGAGUAACACGUGGGAAUCUUCCUAUCGGUGCGGAAUAGCUAAGGGAAACUUGAGGUAAUACCGCAUACGCCCUCAGGGGGAAAGAUUAUCGCCGAUAGAUGAGCCCGCGUCUGAUUAGCUAGUUGGUGGGGUAAUGGCCCACCAAGGCGACGAUCAGUAGCUGGUCUGAGAGGAUGACCAGCCACACUGGGACUGAGACACGGCCCAGACUCCUACGGGAGGCAGCAGUGGGGAAUAUUGGACAAUGGGCGCAAGCCUGAUCCAGCCAUGCCGCGUGAGUGACGAAGGUCUUCGGAUUGUAAAGCUCUUUUGCCAGGGACGAUAAUGACGGUACCUGGAGAAUAAGCCCCGGCUAACUUCGUGCCAGCCGCCGCAGUAAAAC
rnacentral:rRNA from 1 species